UUCCCCCCAAAAUAUUCCUUCAGGCGGUCUAAUUAUUUUAUACUCCCGCCCAAAUAUAUUUUCCCCUUCCUAUCACGGUGCCCAAACGUGUUGGUGCUUUAUCACUUUUUCCAACUCAAGCCCUAAACCCUACCCAAACGCGAGAUGUGUACUCUAGCUAAUUGCUUGUGUAUUGGGGAUGGUAAUGGUGUUGGAUCCGUAGAAAUGAAUCAGAGUUUGAAGGAAUCUCUGAUCGGAGGGAGGUCGCAGCACCGGCAAGGUCUCAGUCUCAACGGAAUCUCCAAGGAUACGGAUGAGAACUUGGAUCUCUUUUCUAGGAAUCGCUGGAGUCUCUCCGUUGCUUCGUCCGACUAAUCGGACGUUUUAGUGAAAUUGGGGAGACUUUCAGUUGGAUCAGCGAAACCCAACAAAAUAUAUGACUACCAGACCAACUUCUUCUAUUUCUUCCUCCGAGGACACCAAUUCAUGGGCCGUUCAUGCCUAGUUGCCGCCGGACUGCACUAGUGGCGGUGGCUGGGGCACACGCUUCAUUCUCUCUCCAAGGAUUCGCCAGAUUUCGAAGGCAGGUGAUCGGGAUUAUACCAGCACGGUACGUCCUCUUGAUUCCAAGGCAAACCCCUCGUUUCCAUCCCCGGCAAAGCCCAUGAUUCAGGAACUUAUGCAGGAAUAAUUUGGCUGGCUAUAUACCAGCUGAGUUUGGUAAUCUAAGAAGCAUUAUGGAGAUAGACAUUUCAAAUAAUCACCUUUAUGGUCCUAUUCCUCAAGAACUCGGUCAGCUUCAAAAUGUCCUCUUGCUGUAAGUUCUAUUUCCCUGUUUGAUAUUUGUGCUUCAAGUUUCUAUUUGUGGUCUUCAUUGGUUGUCAAAGUGACUGUUAUUCUGUGGGAGGAUAAAACCAACAGGUUUGGUUAUGUACUGUUGCAUCUUAUGAAACAUAGCAUUUAUAUACUCUCUCUCUCUCUAUAUAUAUAUAUUUAUGUAUAUAUGGGUUUAGAAGGUUUUCGGUUCCCCUUUUUGGGGUUUUUGCUUUAAAAUCAAAUUAUUAGUUGAUUUUGUUUGCAUUAAAUAUUGUUUUUGAAGCCAAACAUGGGUUUAAUUGAUUAAAGAACAAGUUGAGCCAGAUUGAUCGUGUAUGUCCCUGUUGUGUUUUUUCUUUUAGUUUUAUUCGGAUCGAUCAUAUUUGUGUGUAUAUUAUGGUCUUUUAUUUUAUUUUAUUUUAUUUUUAUUCAUUUUUUUGUGAAUUUUGAUUCAAACAUGCAUUAUUUGAUCCCUUAACAUGAUUUUAUUGGAUUUGAAUAGGGAUUAGGGUGAAUUUCUCAUGCUUUGUGUUCCGUAUGUGCGUGUGUAUGUGUAUACAUGGGUGUGGACUAAAUAUGCAUUGAUUCAAUAAUCCUGCACUGCUUUCCAAGGCAAGCCAAUGAUAAAUUGAGUGCUUGAACAGUAGUAAUUAUAAGAGGAUGGAACAAAUACAUCAACAUAGUUUAUUUUCUUCUGAGGAUUUUAUUGGUAAUUUGUAAAACUAGUUCUACUCACUAUAAUAAACAUCUUCUAUUUGUGUAUGGUAGUAAGUUUUCAAUUUUACUUUGUGCCAUGGCCAUAUUAGAUAUCAAUCUUCUCACAGUGAUGUGCUUGUUUAUUGUUUUCUUCUGUUAAUUGUUCUUUUUUUCAUUUUAUUCUAUUAUAUAAUACUGAGUUUUUAUAUGUUUCUCACAAGAUUCUACUGGAUAAAAAACAGUUGAAUGCUUACUUGAAGAGAGAAGAUUCUCAUUACAAUGCUUUUUCUUAAAUUGUUAGAAUAUAUUUUUUAGUUAUGAUUUGUUUGUCAAUUAUAGUGACCCCAUAACAAAGAGGAAAGAAAAAUACAGAUGAGAUGGAAGGCGAGGCAUGGGAAGCCUUGUCCACUUGUACUUGUAUCUUGAAUCCUUGAAUUCUUUGAAGUGUCCAAAUUACAUUAGAGAUGUUGUCAAACAAUUUCCAAGUAGCCCCUCUAACUUUCUUGUCAAUUUUUUUUUUUUUUUUUUUUUUUUUUUUUUUUUUUUUUUUUUUUGGGUCAUUGGUUAAAUAUUUUUUCCUGAAUGGGUUAUUGGUUAAUUUGGAUUGUUCAAAAAAUUAAUUAUUUAGCCAAAGUAGAUUCAAAAUGGUUAACAUUAAAAAAUCUGUAAAACUAACUAAUCAAUUAAAAAUAAAGUUGGUAACUUCUUACUUGUGUAAUGUAUUGCCCAAUAGUCUAUAGUAAAAGUAAAAGUCUAGUUAUGUGGACUUUGUCUUAGUACAUCACAAAAAGGCAUAAGGGUGACUUAGUUUCUUACAGAUUGGUUCUGAAGAAUAUUGAAGUGAAAGUAGUGAAUUUUUUGCGAGUAAAAAAUCAUGUCCUUGCAAAUUUUACUAUUAAACCCUUUAUGUUUUACAGUAAAUAAAUUGAGCCAUGUUAGUGAUAAUUAAAAAUGCCAAUGGCAAUGUGACAUCGGUUUACAGGGUUCUUCAAUCAUUUGGUUCACUGUAAAUUAAAGAUAUUUAGAGAAUAACAGAAAAUAUGCCUCUGCUGUGCAAUACAUGUUUGUUUGUGUUUUUUAUUUUUUAUUAUUUUUGUUAAGGGGGCUAUGGCAGUCAGGUGGUGCAAUUAGAGACAAGGAAACAGUUUGCCCCUCUUGGUUAAUACAAUCUCUGUCUUGCUCUUCAUUUAUUUAGAAUAGAUAGAUGUGGAGGCAUUGAUGACGAAGAAGAAGUGUUAUUCAUUGAUGAUGACACUGAUAUAGAAUGAUUGAUUCAAUUUCAUCAUUCUUUAAAAGUUGAAUUCUCAGGUCACAAAAUUUAUCACAUUGGAUCAACAAUUUUUGGCCUUGCAGACCUCUUCUAUGGGUGCUACUUGUUCCACUUAAUGCUGCAGGUUGUUCACCCUAUUCAUGACCAAACCUUUUACUUGACUCUGGAGCACAAGAGAAGGCUUAAGGAGGAAUAUGGAAUUGAACCAUGGACUAUUGUGCAAAAUCUAGGAGAUGCAGUUUUUGUACCUGUCGGUUGUCCUCAUCAAAUUAGAAAUUUGAAGGUACUAUAGACUGCAGAAGUGAGGCCUUUAUCCGCUGCCUUAUAGAACAUAGGAUUGAAAUUUGAAGUUCGCAGAGCAGGGGCUGUUGCCAGUAACUGUCAGCGUCUAAAUUUCCUUUCGAACUACUCUGUUUUGCGUUAUCAAUUAAAAUAAGAAUAAUUGGGAAGUGAUUUGGGACAAGUCACUGGGAAGUAUUAUGUUAUCCAAUUUUACAGUUAUGAUAGUUUGACAACUUGUCAAUCUCGAGUAGAGCAGCUAGAUAGUGGUGGAGUGCAUACAGAAUUUUGACGAGAUUAUGACUUAAGGUCAGGUCAUUUAAGAGUUCGACCAGACCUAGGCUACGUUCAAAUUUGUACUAAAACAUUUUCUUCACAAGCUUGUUUAAUAGUUUGGAGCAUGUGCCUCUAGUGACCCUAGCAUAUAGUACUUGCAGACUUGCAUAUGCCAAUCAUAAAGUUGCUUUCCAAGUCGGGGUUCAAACAAAAUUGCCGUGGCAAUGCCAUGUCAAUCUCAUUGAAGGCCUAGUCAUGUUAAACUGGUCUCACGGGUAGUUUUGAAAAACUUUACAUUGCAUGCAAAUGUUCCCCCCAAAAAAAUAGAUAAAUAAAUAAAAUUCAAACUUUCAUGUAGGAGUGGAAGUAGCAGUUGUGAUAAGAAUCUUGGUUUAUUGAAAAAUUUAAUUCGUUGGACGGUUGCACUAUUAUUAGCUAUUUGAGGGAGGGAACUAUUGCUAUUUCAUUGGGCCGUCGUAUUAUAUAUGUCUUUCUGAAAAUGUUUGGAUGCAUACCUUGACCAUGGAGACGAUGCUUAAAUCAUUUGGAAAAGCACUUCUCAAGCUAGGGAAUAGGAAGAAGAGCAAUACCUUAUCAAGGUAAUUGAAGGCUAAAUGAUGCAUCAGGAAAGGUCCCUUUCAGUGAAGUUUUAAUGAAGUUCAGUGGUAAGAGCUUGAAGGUGUGGAGGGCCGGGAGGCAAAGAAAUUAUUUUAUACCAUUGUUCAAUAAAAUCUGACGUAUUUGUUUGAGUAGAACAAAUGAAUAGAGACAUCUUCAGAAGCUUUUUUUUCCCUGAUGUGUGAUGAAUCUUCAAUGUCACAUGUUCUCUUUGUUUCAGUGUCAAGGAAAUUAAAAUGUGAUUGC